rnacentral:lncRNA from 1 species
CUGAUAGUUCUGCUCCAGAUCAGCUGAUAGUUCUUCUCCAGAUCAGCUGAUAGUUCUGCUCCGGAUCAGUUGAUAGUUCUGCUCUGGAUCAGCUGAUAGUUCUGCUCCGGAUCAGCUGAUAGUUCUGCUCCGGAUCAGCUGAUAGUUCUGCUCCGGAUCAGCUGAUAGUUCUGCUCCGGAUCAGCUGAUUGUUCUGCUCCGGAUCAGCUGAUAGUUCUACUCCGGAUCAGCUGAUAGUUCUACUCCGGAUCAGUUGAUAGUUCUACUCCGGAUCAGUUGAUAGUUUUGCUCCAGCUGAGUUGAUAGUUCUGCUCCAGAUCAGUUGAUAGUUCUGCUCCAGAUCAGUUGAUAGUUCUGCUCCAGAUCAGUUGAUAGUUCUGCUCCAGAUCAGCUGAUAGUUCUACUCCAGAUCAGCUGAUAGUUCUACUCCAGAUCAGCUGAUAGUUCUGCUCCAGCUGAUAGUUCUACUCCAGAUCAGCUGAUAAUUCUACUCCGGAUCAGCUGACAGUUCUGCUCCGGAUCAGCUGAUAGUUCUGCUCCGGAUAAGCUGAUAGUUCUGCUCCGGAUCAGCUGAUAGUUCUGCUCCAGCUGAGUUGAUAGUUCUACUCCAGAUCAGCUGAUAGUUCUGCUCCAGAUGAGCUGAUAGUUAUACUCCAGCGUAUAGUUCUGCUCCAGAUCAGUUGAUAGUUCUACUCCUGAUCAGUUGAUAGUUCCGCUCCGGAUCAGCUGAUAGUUCUGCUCCGGAUCAGCUGAUAGUUCUGCUCCAGCUGAUUGUCUGCUCCAGCUGAUAGUUCUGCUCCAGAUCAGCUGAUAGUUCUACUCCGGAUCAGCUGAUAGUUCUGCUUCGGAUCAGCUGAUAGUUCUGAUCCGGAUCAGCUGAUAGUUCUGCUCCCGAUCAGCUGAUAGUUCUACACCAGAUCAGCUCAUAGUUCUGCUCCAGAUCAGCUAAUAGUUCUUCUAGGGAUCAGCUGAUAGUUCGACUCCUGAUCAGUUGAUAGUUCUGCUCCGUAUCAGCUGAUAGUUCUGCUCCGGAUCAGCUGAUAGUUCUGCUCCAGCUGAUAGUCUGCUCCAGCUGAUAGUUCUGCUCCAGCUGAUAUUCUGCUCCAGCUGAUAGUCUGCUCCAGCUGAUAGUCUGCUGCAGCUGAUAGUCUGCUGCAGCUGAUAGUCUGCUGCAGCUGAUAGUUCUAC